rnacentral:rRNA from 1 species
CAGUCGCCACGGGAAUACGUAGGGUGCGAGCGUUAAUCGGAAUUACUGGGCGUAAAGCGGGCGCAGACGGUUACUUAAGCAGGAUGUGAAAUCCCCGGGCUCAACCUGGGAACUGCGUUCUGAACUGGGUAACUAGAGUGUGUCAGAGGGAGGUUGAAUUCCACGUGUAGCAGUGAAAUGCGUAGAGAUGUGGAGGAAUACCGAUGGCGAAGGCAGCCUCCUGGGAUAACACUGACGUUCAUGCCCGAAAGCGUGGGUAGCAAACAGGAUUAGAUACCCCAGUAGUCCCUGUCUCUUAUAC